rnacentral:rRNA from 1 species
UAGGGAAUCUUCCGCAAUGGACGAAAGUCUGACGGAGCAACGCAGCGUGAGUGAUGAAGGUUUUCGGAUCGUAAAACUCUGUUGUUAGGGAAGAACAAGUUGGGUAGUAACUGACCCAACCUUGACGGUACCUAACCAGAAAGCCACGGCUAACUACGUGCCAGCAGCCGCGGUAAUACGUAGGUGGCAAGCGUUGUCCGGAAUUAUUGGGCGUAAAGCGCUCGCAGGCGGUCUUUUAAGUCUGAUGUGAAAGCCCACGGCUUAACCGUGGAGGGUCAUUGGAAACUGGAGGACUUGAGUACAGAAGAGGAGAGUGGAAUUCCACGUGUAGCGGUGAAAUGCGUAGAGAUGUGGAGGAACACCAGUGGCGAAGGCGACUCUCUGGUCUGUAACUGACGCUGAGGAGCGAAAGCGUGGGUAGCGAACAGG